AUCCCAUGAUGAGGACACCUCCUAAGCAAAUCCUUAAACCUUUCUCAAGCCUCAAAUAGAGUUUCAUCUUCACCUUUCCUAAAAUAGGUGAUGUCAUUUCUCUUUUU
rfam:Cicer arietinum chromosome Ca7, whole genome shotgun sequence.